rnacentral:rRNA from 1 species
UACGUAGGGCGCAAGCGUUGUCCGGAAUUAUUGGGCGUAAAGCGCGCGCAGGCGGCACUUCAAGUAAGGUGUGAAAUCUCCCUGCUCAACGGGGAGGGUGCACUUUAGACUGAGGAGCUAGAGGACGGUAGAGGGGGGUGGAAUUGCUGGUGUAGCGGUGAAAUGCGUAGAGAUCAGCAGGAACACCCGUGGCGAAGGCGGCCCCCUGGGCCGUACCUGACGCUGAGGCGCGAAGGCUAGGGGAGCGAACGGG